rnacentral:tRNA from 1 species
GUUUUUAUAGUUUAAAAUAAAACAUUGGUCUUGUAAAUCAAAAUUAAAAUUUAUUCUUUAAAAACU